CAGAGCUCCCGACUCACAUCCGGAGCUUCCGCGGGCGCCACCAUCACCGCAGCGCACGCGCGCACACAGACACAACGCCCGCCGUCGUAACGCCAUCAUCAACAUCGCCAUCGAGGCGGUCUUCCCGGCUGAUGGCAGUAAUCAUGGCUCUCAUCGCCGUGUUCAUAGCGACGGUCGCGUUAUCUUCCACCGCCUCAUCCCUGCCCGUGAGUGGAAAGCUGUCCCCGUCCGACGAAGCGGCGCUGAAGUGCAUCAUCGAGGUGCUGUCGGGAGCGCUGUCUCCCGCGCAGCCUCCCCCCGCAGCCAGCGCCGAGUGCAUGGAGAUCCUUCGUGGAGACAAUCGAAUCUCCACGCUGAUCCACCAGCACGACCUCCUGUCUCAGCUGGAGGAGAUCGCGGGCCGGGGCCCCGCAGGGGAGCGCGCGGGGACCGCUUCCACAGCAGCAGACGCCAAGUACGAGCCGAGCGAGGAGCGGCAGGAGACGAAGGAGAAGGAGGAGGUGGAGGAUGAUGAAGAGACACGUGUCGACCACGUGGAGAAGGACAAGAAAGACGCCAAGAAGAAGAAGCAGCAGCAGCAGGAGAAUGACGACGACGAUGAUGAGAAGGAGAAGGAGGAGGAGGGUGGCGAUGACGAGACCAAAUCUGGAGUGGGCAAGUCACGGGAGUUCCGCACGAAGGGGCCGGGGAGUGCCGAGCGUCGCGCAGGAGGAGUGGGAGGAGAAGGAACGAAGUGGAGCGGGGGCCGUGUCCGCGUGGAGCCGCGUCACGGAGAGGCGCCCCCCGAGAAGGCCACCGACCGCGAGCGCAGCAACGGGGAAGAGCCACGUGGACAGAUGCACGGCGCUCCCGACAACGGCGACGAAGAGGAGGAGGAGGAAGAGGAGCGGUCCCCACACCACGAGGACAAGGACGACGGCGUCGGUGACGAGGUGGCGAGGAGCGUGGGGACUGGCGGGGACGACGACGAGGUGGAGGAGGAGGACGCGAAUGUGGAGGAGGUCACGGAGACGCCGGCGCAUCGCGGAGACGCGGGGCCCCAGCGGGGGUCUCACGGCACGAGCGGCGUCGAGAGGAGCGCGGCGCGGAAGGCGCACGACGGCCGCCGCCGCCCCGCGGCCGAGCAGCUGCUGGAGUACCUGGACCAGAUCCGCCAGCGCCUGGGACAGAAGCAGCAGGAGCAGCAGGAGCAGGAGCAGCAGCGGCGGCGCGGCGACUACGGCGGCAGGCACCCCGACAAGGGGGAACCUCUCGCCGAGAGGAAAUCCGACGACGAAGACGACGACGACGACAGAGACGACGAGAAGGUUGAGUACGAGACGCGAAAGAGCGAGGGGGGCGGCCGGCACGGCCACGACGAGGUGGAAGACGAUGCCCGCGAGCAAGAGGAAGACGACGAUCGUACCGACGACGACGACGAGGGAGAAGAGCAGGUGGGCGGCGAGGAGGUGUUUGGCGACGGUGUCGGCAGCAGCCACCGCUGGGCGGGGAAGGUCCACUCGGAGGGGCGGCCUGCGUGGGGAGCGGCGCACCGGGCAGCGGCGAAGGGCGACGACGGGGAAGAGGGUGACGAAGAGAAGGAGGAGCAGGAGGAGGAGGUGGGGCGAGGAGGUGGGAAGGAAUGGGGAGGCGACAAGCGGGCCCAGGACACCCAGAGCCGCAAGCACAGCACGCUGAACAGCAAACAGCUGCUGGAGCUGAAGGCCAUGGAGCACGAGCUGGUGAAGAUUGCCGAACGACUCGGGGAGCGACUGGGAUGAGGCGGAGGAGAUGGGAUCGAGAAGAAGGGACAAAAGACGGGAACCCCCCCCCCCUCACCAAACCCCCCCACAAAACAUCAUAACACAUCGCGACCCGUCCAUCACGACGACUCGUGCGACAUCACGACUCGUCUGACGAUAUCACGACCCGUCUGACGACAUGACGACAUCACGACUGGUCCAACGAUAUCACGAUCCGUCUGACGACAUGACGACAUCAUGACUGGUCCAACGAUAUCACGACUCGUGCGACGACAUGACGACAUCACGACUGGUCCAACGACAUCACGACUCAUGCGACGACAUCACGACUGGUCCAACGACAUCACGACUCGUGCGACGACAUGACGACAUGACGACUGGUCCAACGAUAUCACGACUCGUGCGACGACAUGACGACAUCACGACUGGUCCAACGACAUCACGACUCGUGCGACGACAUGACGACAUCACGACUGGUCCAACGAUAUCACGACUCGUGCGACGACAUCGCGACUCCUCGUACCGACGGCGCUUGGCAGUGGCGGUCUCCAGCAGGCGGUUCGGGGCGGCUUGUUAAUUGACUAAUUGGGAGGCGCCAUUGGCCAUGGGUUUGUAAGAGGCUUCUUCCAUCCACUGCACGGUGGAGUUUGAAAAGCCCACGCAGCUUCUCAGGAUAAUCCCGCAUUUGUUUAUUUUGAAAUUCCGCCCGACUUCCCCCGUAGCAAUACUGCGAUUUUUCUCAGCGCAGGUGUCCGCAAAGGUGUCAUCCGUUAUGGAAAGCCAUAUUUAGAUAGACAGAGUUCGAUUCCUGGCCAGGGCUAACAUCGGUGGUGGGUGGAUAUCUGAAACGCUCGGUGGGUGCCCUCCACACUUGGCACGCCGGGGUCGGCACGUGGCGCGGUAAAGACGGGGAACCCAGAGGGACCGGCUCAGAUAUCGCUCGCUUGAUGCUAGCCGUGGUCGGGAAUCGAACUCGAGUCCGCCGGGUUUGUAGUGCAGCGCGGUGACCACUGCGCCACCCCUUCAACCGCGCUGUCCAAUUAUAGUCGUCUCUUAAUAACGAUACUAACAGAUCGUACUGUUGUGGAGACCAUGAAAAAAAUCGCCGUGCUGUUUCCCCCGAUAAUUGCGUCCCAAGCGCGGGCACCACGUGGCGAGGUUGAGCAAGGGACGCAGCAGAGUGGCUCCAGACGAUGGCAUCACAUUCGUCUCGCUCCUCUCCGUUGCCGUCCACGCGUCCAUCCCGCGCGCAGUCGAAGCGGUAUUUUGACAUUCUGAACGGGGUUGCAAUUUUGCCACGUCCACGUUUAGUGGAAGAAAAACAAAGUGAGAGUGAUGGAGGGGCGGUUUGGCGCAGUUAUCGGUGAGCAGGCCGAGACUGGUCAACUCACUGCGCCUGAGAACUCGCUUUCAGCCACUGCCCAUCUACCCGAGUUCAAACCCAGGAUCUCGGCCGUACUGGCUCGGCACUUUGACACCAGCCGGCCAGCGUCACCUUUGAUUCUUCAUCGUACUAACUCUUCCAUCCCCAAAUAUCGCUUGAGACUACCCAGCGUGUUACCUGCAGCAGGAAAAACAGGCCGAUGUGGAAUUUGUCACCUCUUCCAACUCGGCUUGGGAUGCAGAAUCCAGUGGUGGUGGGGUGGAGGGGGGUCAGGCUUAGGGCCAGGGUUAGGUCACUUGGCUCCAUAAUAUAAGGGUGAGAUUUCACAAUGAAAUUUGUUAACAUGAAUUGCCACGACAAUUACUGUGCAGAUUUUGAAUGGCAAAGUAGUUUUUUUUCUUCUUCUCUUAAAAGUAAUUUCCUGUUAUUGUGGCAGACAGCUACUGCCAGCUGCGGAAUGACAACGGCGAGUAACUAAAGACCGCUGCAAUUGGCAGUCUCGUCGAUCAGCAGAUCGCAUGCGGUGGGGUAAAGUGUGGCCGACUGCCACCUCUUCCCAAGACGUACUGGCCAGCGUGGAAGAGUAGGUCCACAACACCCUCUAGAGAGGCUCACUUAGAGCUCCCUCUAGAGGUGCAUAGGUGCUCUCUGCAGCUCCCUCUAGAGGUCUAGCGGAUGCCCUUCCGCCAGCAGGGGCCUGAGCAGGCAAUUGCAGGGCUGCUGCACCAUCACGUGCUUCCAAUUGGUAUCCACGAUCCAGCCUGCGGCAAUUGUUCUCACCAACGUUGCUGGUCUUGAGCCAAAGGUGUAAAUCAUGGGUGGGAAAAAACCGAUUUUUCCAAAAAACCCAGGCAUCGGGUUUUUUCUUUAUUACAAUUAAACCCGAUUUCGGGGAAUUAAAACCUGGUUUAAUGAAUACGAAACUCUGAUCCAAGGCUUAGGCUGCUUCUUCUGUCGGUGCUGCUAUCGUACUCGGGGGGGCCGUCGGGCACGGGGUAGUGGUAGAAUGCGGCGGGCAGGUUGGUCUUGAUGAACACGAGCUUCUCCACAAUCGUGGGCGCCAGUGAGUUCCUUAGCUUGGAAUGGAUGAAGCCCAUCGUUGAGAAGUUGGCGAAGUGCGGUUCUGCAAUUAGAACCAAUUACACCGGAUUUCUCCCAAUCUCAGAUGAUCGGGUUUAAUAUAAAAAGACAAUUAAGCCCGAUUGUAAAAAACCCGACUGUGCCACCCUUGGUGUAAAUCCCUUCUUUCUAUGAUGGCCUCCCCCCCCCCCCCCCCCCCACUUUUUGGGUCUUUAACUUCCUAACGCGACGACGCCCGACCGCUGACACUCCCUGCCAAUCGCCGGCCAGCAGCUCGUUUGACGGUGAGGGCCCAGCGGACGAAGUUGAUACGACGAGGCGGAGCUGGCUAGGGAGCUGUCAAUUGUUCGUGGACUGUCGCGGCGAGGGCUGUUAGCGAUCGCCUAUUAAGGUCAGCACGCACUCGGAUGAAUGAGGGGGGGUUACAUGAACCAACGCCGUGCUGACCGCAAUCGUCUUCCCCCCUUGUCCGACGUUCACGGCCGGAGCCGAAACCAAGUGCCGUGCUCAUUUUAGGCCGAGUCUACCACCUGCACGGCGGUGCGGGCCAGGUUUGGGUCGCGAGCGCUACCGACGUCGAGGCGCUAUCAUCACGCGACGCGGGACCCCCCCACCCCCCCCCAGUCGACUGGGACCAUAAUGCAGCUGGCGCCCACGAGGACACGCGACGCCUCGCGUGCGCGAACAAAAGUAUGAUAAUUGGUUUUUUACCCUUUUAUCCGGCAACAAAACUGACACCUUUUUUACAAGGAGUCAUGUUUGCAUAGACCACAAUACCUGCAGUCAUCAUGCAAACAAAAAACACAACUCUGAUAAUGUAUGCACUGUCCUUGAAGUUGAUUGGUCCACACCCGAGACAGCUUUCCUUAGAGCCUAGUGUCAGUUUUGUUGCCAGAUAAAAGGGUAAAAAAACAAUUCAUAUUUUUUCUUCUGGCAAAUGAGGUUCCAAUGGUGGGCGAACAAAGUCGCGCCCGUAUCUCUCUCCGAGGUGGGACUCGCCCUGACGACCACCCCCGCUGCGCUGUGUGCGGACACAGCAGGGCAACGAUGCGCUUGACACUGCCCCCCCCCACUCCACACACACAGCCGCAAAGGCAGCGACCAGGCGGGGUGGUUACGCGUCCACGUGUUUGCAUCUGCCAUGCUCACCCCCAAUGCCCCCCCGCCCCCCUUGUAAUUCACGCCAAUCCUUUCAAGAGGCACGUGUCCAGCUCGCUGUAGCGUUUCACGAUAAUUAACAAAGUUUUUUUUUUUAACAACCCGCGUUCAAGCGACCUCCCCUCCCGCAGGACCGGUCGUAUAUAAUCCAGAACACGUUUUGUAAAAAGAAAAACAGCAAAAACCCCGCCACUGCUUUUAGGACCGUGUAACUGCUCGCCAUGCGCUGCGACUCGACCAAUUUCCUAAGAGCAGGCCUGCUUCCACUACCACCACACGCACACCUUUUAUGCAAGUUGUUUAUUGUUGUUGUCCUGGAUUACACGGGGGGGGGGGGGGGAGGGCUGAGAUGAAUUAAGCGCUCGUCGUUUUAAUUAAGCAAAGGGCAGAGCAGCUUUUGCUCCCAAUGUAAAGUCUGAAAGGCACGGCGGCCGUCGCUUCGCAAAUUGCCGCGUGACUGGAUGACCGAUGUCAAUUUUAUUGAUUGUAUCGAAGGGCUACAAAAGUUCUAAUUUGGCACCACAAAUGUUGUUAAGUCCGUACUUUCGAAAUGUACGUAGCCUUUGUCAGUCCGCUGCUGGAUGAAGGCCUGCCCACACUGCAUCAGUCACCUGGGUUGACCAUACUUCACCAUAAUAUCGGUCAGUAGAAAGAAAAAAAAAACUCAAUUUAAAUGUCACGGCCCAGAGAUUUCAUCGCUUUCGCUCAUUUGGGCAAGGGUCGGCCCGAACGUUCCUUCCGCAUUGCCCCUGUGCUAAAAACUAUAAACCAGCCGGUUUAAAAACAAUAAACACUGCGCGCCCUCUGUGGUGACUCGCAUCAGAUCUGAGACGCGUCCUCCACCAGGUGGGUGGUCGGCCCCGUUAUUCGCCCGCCGGCUCCAGCCCGCCGGUGCCCCCCGAGGUGGCCACCAGCCACACGGCCGGCUCCCUACGCCAGACCAGAGGUCGCAACCAGGUACCUGAUACCCGUACCCUACCCGAUACCCGGCUACCCGUACCCGGCUGGGUACGGGUACCCGUUUGCGACCCUGGUGCGGCCGGGUACG